rnacentral:ncRNA from 1 species
GGAGAUUUCUUCACUACUAAUCUUAGUAUGUUUUCUACAACAAAAGAGGCUCCAUAAUAUCUAUAGGGGAUUUACCCACUACAAAUAUUAUAGAGCC